rnacentral:lncRNA from 1 species
GCACAGAAGUCUAACCAACUUCAGAAAUGAUGGUUUGACACAGUGUUUCCAUUUUACAUUUGCUCAUCCCCUUCUGUUUUGUAGAUGCCUCCCUGGAGCAGUUCCAGGAAAAAGUCUGUCCCAAGCUAAACAUCGUUGCAGUCCUUACUAUCUGUGGGUACCUUUUUGGCUUACAGUAAAGGUAAAUAAGUGUACCUACAGUCCCAUGGAUCAGGCUCAUUGAUGACUAAGGAUUUACUACAUUUUAAAAAACAGAAAAACAGGAGAUCAGAUAUCAGAAUUCUUCUCAUUGAAAAAUUAAUUUAUUUGGGUUGAUUUUCAUGCUAACAUGCAAACUACUUUGAAUUAUCAAAGGAAGAUAGAAGACCCCAGAUGGAUCCAAUUAUGCACUUGAAUUUUUAAAAAGUCUUUGUGUGUUCUAGCAACUGCAGCGUAAAACCAUUGUCACAAGAGAACAGAGGAAAGGCAGCAAACCAGUUUUGAUAAGAUAUAUUUGACUUGAAUAAACGUCUCUCUCCUUUGCCUCA